CCUACGGGUGGCAGCAGUGAGGAAUAUUGGUCAAUGGCCGGAAGGCUGAACCAGCCAUGCCGCGUGAAGGACAGGGGCCUAAGGGCGUGAAACUUCCUUUGUGCGGGAGCAAUAAUGGUCACGUGUGGCCAGACGAGAGUACCGUACGAAUAAGCAUCGGCUAACUCCGUGCCAGCAGCCGCGGUAAUACGGGGGAUGCAGGCGUUAUCCGGAUUUUUUGGGGUUAAAGGGUGCGUAGGCUGGGAGGUAAGUCAGCGGGGAAAUGCCCCCGCUCAACGGGGUGAAGUGCCAUUGAUACUGGCGUGCUGGAGUGCUGAUGCCGUGGGAGGAAUGUGUGGUGUAGCGGUGAAAUGCAUAGAUAUCACACAGAACACCGAUUGCGAAGGCAUCUCACGGAUCCGCGAUUGACGCUGAUGCACGAAAGCGUGGGUAUCAAACAGGAUUAGAUACCCCUGUAGUC
rnacentral:rRNA from 1 species